UAUAUAUGCUUCGGCCAGGGCUGGUGCUUUGGAUCAAAGGCCGGCGGGUCCUGCUUCCCUGAAGCCCUCACUGUUUCCUAUCUCCUGCUGCAGAGGCUGGCUGGAUUAGUGUGCAAAAUGAAGCAAUGAAAUGACUUCCCAUGAGCAUCCAUAAGAACAGGGUGCAAAAAUGCUUGGAGCCUUUGGUCUGAUACAGUAGGAAUCCUCUUAUGUUCUUAUA